rnacentral:tRNA from 1 species
GGCGUGGUGGCACAGCGGUAAAGCCACGGCCUGACAAUCAGUUGUCCUGGGUUUGAUUCCCGAACCCACCG